GACGGAGGGGGCAAGCGUUGCUCGGAAUUACUGGGCGUAAAGGGCGCGCAGGCGGCUUUGUUUGUCAGGCGUGAAAGCCCCGGGCUUAACCUGGGAACUGCGUUUGAUACGGCAGGGCUAGAGUUCGGGAGAGGAGAGUGGAAUUCCCAGUGUAGAGGUGAAAUUCGUAGAUAUUGGGAAGAACACCGGUGGCGAAGGCGGCUCUCUGGACCGAUACUGACGCUGAGGCGCGAAAGCGUGGGGAGCAAACAGG
rnacentral:rRNA from 1 species